AUACGGAGGGCGCAAGCGUUGUUCGGAAUCAUUGGGCGUAAAGCGCGCGUAGGCGGCUUGGCAAGUCGGGUGUGAAAUCCCGGGGCUCAACCCCGGAACUGCACUCGAAACUGCCUGGCUAGAGUCCCGGAGAGGAUGGCGGAAUUCCCGGUGUAGAGGUGAAAUUCGUAGAUAUCGGGAGGAACACCAGUGGCGAAGGCGGCCAUCUGGACGGUGACUGACGCUGAGGUGCGAAAGCGUGGGGAGCAAACAGGAUUAGAAACCCCGGUAGUCC
rnacentral:rRNA from 1 species